GAAUUGCGAUAAGUAAUGUGAAUUGCAGAAUUCAGUGAAUCAUCGAAUCUUUGAACGCACCUUGCGCCCCUUGGAUAUUCCGAAGGGCAUGCCUGUUUGAGUAUCAUGAACACCUCAACUCUCAUGGUUUGCCAUGAUGAGCUUGGACUUUGGGGGUUCUGCUGGCCCAUGGUCGGCUCCCCUUAAAUGGAUCAGCUUGCCAGUGUUUUGGUGGGAUCCCAGGUGUGAUAACUAUCUACGCUUGUGGCUUUCCGUCAAGCAACCUUCAGCAAUGAGGGUUCGCUGGGGCUCAUAAACGUCUCUCUUGUGGAGACAGGUUUUUGAAGUUUGAUCUCAAAUCAGGUAGGACUACCCGCUGAACUUAAGCAUAUCAAUAAGCGGAGG
rnacentral:rRNA from 1 species